UCUAUCCAAAUUAUCUCAAAACCCCCAAAUUGCCAAUGAGAUCCAAAUUUAGGUUCUCCUCUUUCCUUCUUAAUUAAGCUUCAAAUUUUAAUUAAUCUUUUAUAAUUUUUGAAUUAGUGCAAUCAAUUAUGGAGAAUCGAUCAUUCAUGAUGGAAUUUGUUUCGCUAACCGAUUCUGAAUGAGUUAUCAAUUUUAAAUUGGAACAACUUUUUCACGUCAUCCAUAUAUGCCACCACUCUAGGUUAUUUUGGGACAUGACGAGUAGUUAAAGUGAAUCACGAAAGACUGCUAAUAAUCUAGUUAAGGCAUCAUCAUCGAGGCAAGACUUUGGCAGCUUUAUUUCUUCAAAAGGUAUAUUGAAAGAUACAAUGAAGUUAUCAUAUUCAGUUUCAUUAGCUAUUCGUGCAAACUAAUAUACAGAUUCUUCUAGAAAUGUCUAUGUUAUAGCGCUGGUAAUAAAAUAUAGAAGUCCAAUUUCAAUAUUUGUUCAAGAAUCUGUUUUCAAUGAGUAAAUUUAACAACAUGCAAAAGUUUUAGGGGCCUGUUAGAUUCAUUUCCUUAGAAUACAAAAUUCUAACCACCUUAUAUUCAUCCAAAUGAGGAACGUAGCCAAACCCAAACACUAGGUGAUUAGAAACAUCAGGAAGCUACACGGGGACCUACAAAGAUUCUUGAUCAUUUUUGUGGCUGGGUUUUAAAAAUACAUGUUGCAACUAGAUCUAGGAGUUAUAGGGUAAAGAAGAAAGAGAACACCAUUGCAACAAACAAAAACUUCAAAAAUUUUAGUCGAUUUACAUAAAGGAAAUUCUAAUUUCUUAUGCCCAGCAAAUGUUUCAUAAGAGUACAAAGUGUAACACGUGUUCCGUGACAUCCAAGAUAUCUUUACCAAUCAAAUAUCUUUUCUUAUAUAAUGAACAUUGAUUCAUAUGCAUGUUAAUAAAAUGAGGAUCUCUAGUGAAACUACACCAAGAUUUGGAUACAGACCUAUUGCAUUAGAUUGUCGAUAGGAAGUCUUAACAAAAUAUUAGUUAUUUCAUCACCAGGUGGAUCAACAGAGAAAAUCAUCGUGUUAAUUGAAUAGUAAUAGCACAGAAGUACCAAAAAAUUAGUUUGAUGCCUAGUGAAUCCGAAAAUUCUUUACAAGAUCACACGAUAAGGGAAAUUUCAAUGAAAUAGAGCAGUAAAAUUCUAUUAGUCAGGCAAGGUCGUGAGAGAGACAGACAGACAGACAGAACGACAGAGAAAACAUUCAAAAUAAGGAUGUGAACUAUUAGAGAUAUCAUCGAGACAAAGAAAAAUAAGGCUUCAUCGAAGAUGAUAAUGUUGGUGGACGAAAAAGAUCAAGACAGGUAAACAAAGAAAGGUAUGCAUUGAAGAGAAAUUAAGACAACAAUGAAUGGGAGAUUGAUGAUGAGUAGAGAGACUGAUGGAGCAAACAAAAAGGAGAAAAAAUCAUUCAUAGCAAUGUAUCUGCAUUGAAAUAUCGAUUGAAGGAGAAAUAGAGCUUUGUUCUGAAUAUAAACCUUCUCUAAAGGUUAAUAUUAGUUACCAAGUUAAGAUGAUGCCAUACUUUGCUAAUUUAGGAACUGAUAAAAUAGUAAAUUGUUGAAGAGAAUCCCCC
rnacentral:lncRNA from 1 species